AAAAACUUGCUGGUUUUACGGCUCAGGGGGCAUCACGGAACCUGCCGACAUGUGAUGUCUCCCCCGGACACCCAGCUUUAAAAUUUCUCUCUUGUACUCUUUCCCUUUAUUUCUAGACCGGCCAACACUUAGAGAAAUAGAAAAGAACCUAUGUGAAAUAUCGGGGGCUGGUUUCCCCUGAUAGUGAAGGAGACAGGUUAGAUACACUGGAGCUUCCACACAGGAGAGAGGGAAGGAGCUGGAGAAGAAGACAGGAGCCACAGAUUUUGGAGUACUGCAAAAUGACUUUCCAAAUUGAUGAACCAUGGACUCCAAGCUGGAUAGACACAGAAAUGAAAAGAAGGGACUAAUAGGGAAUAAGACGUGUGAUCCAUGGCCCGAUGGCCCUGAUGGACGUGAAGAUCCACUGUUGUGGGAGGAGUGGAACACUAACACUGAAUGAUGGAGGCUGUGGUCAGAAACAGAUUUGUCUGAAUUUCAGUUGAUCCAGAGCAAGAAAAAGAUCACGCCUGAAGAAAUGCUGCUGAUGUCUAUGUCACAGUCCUUUCUGUCUUACCCAUGAACCAAGUGAGAAGACAGCAUUGGCCAGCAGUUUUUACUAUUUCUCUUUAACUCACGUUUGGACUUUAAACUUCCAUCUGCCUCUCUCUCCUACUUUCACGGUGUCUGGAAUGUUUUCUCAAUGCCAACAAUCAAUUCUCUGAUUCUCCAGACACCAGCUGGAUGUCCUACAUUCAAUUCUAACACUAUCUACCUGGAGUUAGCACAGACCUCACAGGUUAAGGGUUCAUUCCCACAAGACCCCCACAACUUCAGAUGUUGGUUGCAAGGCCUGGCUGCCUGCACUUCUGACCCACUGGCUAUAAUUCAGGGGUUCCUGCUGGAACUGUAAUAGGUCCAUCACCAUCACCCAAUGCAGGCAUUAAGUCAGUACACCGAGACACCCGGUUGCGCAGAGAAAGAGGUAUUAUCGUGGAGCCACCAAACAACAAGACAGGAGGAAACCUUCAAAUCCAUCUCCCCAAGGAGUUUGGGGCUCGGGCUUUUUUUUUUUUUUUUUGAGACGGAGUCUCGCUCUGUCGCCAGGCUGGAGUCCAGUGGUGUGAUCUCAGCUCACUGCAACCUCCGCCACCCAGGUUCAAGCGAUUCUCCUGCCUCAGCCUCCUGAGUAGCUGGGAUUACAGGCGCCCACCACCACACCUGGCUAAUAUUUGUAUUUUUAGUAGAGACAGGAUUUCCACCAUGUUGGCCAGGAUGGUCUUGAUCUCCUCACCUUGUAAUCCACCCCGCCCGCCUUGGCCUCCCAAAGUGCUGGGAUUAUAGGCCUGAGUCGCCACGUCCAGCCUGGGCUUGGGCUUUUAAGGGUUUUGGAGUGGGCGGAAGUGUGGAGAUGGUGGAUUGGCUGAAUAGUGCGGUGUGAAGUCAUGGGACAGGAAGAUGAAGAAGCUGUAUUCUCACACUGAUUUGGUUCCUCUGUGGGGGUCUUCAAAGCGGUUGGUUGCAGCUGCUUCACUGGAAUUCAGGGUCUCAGAAAAACAUCUUAAGCAUCCUCAAACAAAAGUCUUAUGAUUCUAAUGUCAGAGAUGCUGUCUAUAGGAAUAAUGGGAAUGCAAAUGGUCGGUGUCAGGUGCUACGAGACUUUAAGCAAUGAGGAAGGGGCCAGAGAGCAGCCUGAUAGAUGCUGAAUUAUAACCGUGUUUCAUUCUUGUCAAUGCUGUGGGGAUGCCUUCCUCACAACUUCCUCCUCAGGUUUCAUAACAUGUUAGAAUCAGUCACAGAACUCAGGAACACACUUUACUUACAUGUGCAAACUUAAAUAAUACAACUAAGGAACAGCCAGAUGGAAGAGAGGCAUAGGACCAGGCGUCGGGGAGGGGCACGAGCAGCCCUGCCACAUUCCGGGCACCAGCCUUCCAACACCGAUGUAUUCACCAGCCUGGAGUUUCUAUACAGCUCAAUCUCCAGCUUCCCCUUUCCCUUGCAUGAGGCAAAGGUCAGGGACAGAGUGAAAGUUCCAACCUUUUAAACAUUAGUCUUUCUGAUGACCAGCCGCAUCCUGAGUAUCUAGGGGCCACACGCUAGAUCACCUAAUUAGCAUAAACACAGGUGUGAUCAAAAGGAAUUCAUUAUGAAUAACAAGACUCCCAUCAGGCCUGGCGUGGUGGCUCACACCUGUAAUUCCAGCACUUUGGGAGGCUGAGGCGGGUGAAUCACUUGAGGUCACGAGUUCCAAGACCAGCCUGGCCAACACAGUGAAACCUCAUCUCUACUAAAGAUACAAAAAUAAAUUAGCCAGGCAUUGUGGCAGGCACCUGUAAUCCCAGCUACUCAGGAGGCUGAGGCAGGAGAAUCGCUUGAACCUGGGAGGCAGAGGUUGCAGUGAGCCGAGGUCACGCCAUUGCACUCCAGCCUGGGUGACAGAGCAAGACUCUGUCUCAAAAAAAAAAAAGACUCCCAUCACUCAGGCAAUGCCAAGGGUUUAGGGAACUCUGUGCCAGGAACAGGGACAAAAACCAGAUACAUAUAUAUAUAUAUACUUUUUAAAAAUAUAAUUUCAACUUUUAUUUUAGAUUUGGGGGCAUAUGUGCAGGUUUGUCUCAUGGGUAUAUGGCAUAAUGCUGAGGUUUGGUGUAUGACUGAUUCUGUCACCCAGAUAGUGAGCAUAGUUCCCAACAGUUAGUUUUUCAACCCUCGCCCACUCCCUCUCUCCUCCCGCUAGGAGUCCCCCAGUGGUGUUUUUGCCAUCUUUAUGUCCACGAGUACCCAAUGUUUAGCUCACACUUAUCAGUGAGAACACGCCAUAUUUGAUUUUUCUCUUCCUGCAUUAAUUUGCUUAAGAUAAUGACCAAAUCUAUUUCUUAUUAUACCACAGAUAUAUAUAUAAAUCCUGUAGCUAAGGACUCAUCUUUGUACCGGUAGGCAGUAUUUACAAUGCACGCAUCAAGUCAGUACACCAAGACAACUGGUUGCAGCAGAGAAAGAGGUUUAAUCAUAGGGCCACCAAACAAGAAGACAGGAGGAAACCUCAAAUCCAUCUCCCCAGAAAGUUUGAGAUUAGGGAUUUUUUUUCAGUAGCUGAAUAUAACUGGCCAGUGCAGAAGAGCCUAUGAAGGUGGAAAAUGGAGGAAGGAGGACCCCAUGCUGGAGAAGUGAUGGAGAUUUGAAGCCUUGGAAGAUGGCGGCAAGGGAGAUGCCAGAGAUGAGACAAUGUUAAACAUCUGUAAUCUAACAGUCUUCUAUGGGAGUUUAUUACAUUUCCAUAUCCUAUGUUCACUUCUAGUGAAAAAUAAAAAUAAAAUCUUAAGCCCCCCACAGCUGACUAAAUGGAUCCCAUUGUGAAAGGAAAAUAUCUUGAGCCUCCAAAAUCACUAAGGAAAAUUCAAGCUGGAAACUUCUUAGGACAAACCUGCCUCCCAUUCUCUUCAAAGUUAUUCCUCUGCUCGAGGAGCUAGAUGCAUAUCUGAUUGCCGCCUUUGGAAAGGCUAACCAGAAACUCAAAAGAAUGAUACAGUUUGUUAUCACCUACCUGUGACCUGGAAGCUCCCUCCCUCCCCACUUGAGUCUUCCUGCUUUUGUUUCAAGCUGUCCUGCCUUUCCAGACCAAACCAAUGUACUUCUUACGUAUAUUGAUUGAUGUCUCACUCAUGUCUCCCUAAAUCGUAUAAAACCAAGCUGUGCCCCAACUACCCUGGGCAUGUGUCAUCAGGAUUUCAUGAAGCUGUGUCACGGGCGCAUUCCCCAACCUUGAAAAAAUAAACUUUCUAAAUUAACUGAGACCUGUCUCAGAUUUUCUGGGUUCACAUUGUUUUCGUCAAGGGGACUCCCCAAGUAACUUUGAAAACUGAGUUCUAGGCUGUGAGGGGAUGGGAGGUCAGAGGUCAGACGCACCUUGCUGCACACCUCCACCUCGCUAACCCCCUUAGGCUUUCUUCCCUAGGGGCUAAACAGAAACCAGCUCUUUCCUUUUUUUUUUUUCUUUUUUUUUAGAGACGAGUCUUGCUCUGUCACCCAGGCUGGAGUGCAGUGGUUCGAUUUUGGCUCACUGCAACCACCACCUCCCAGGUUCAAGCAAUUCUCCUGCCUCAGCUUCCCAAGUAACUGCAACUACAAGCACAUGCCACCAUGCCCGGCUAAUUUCUUUUGUAUUUUUAGUAGAGAUGGGGUUUCACCAUGUUGCCCGGGCUGGUCUUGAACUCCUGAGCUCAGGCAAUCUGUCCGCCUCAGCCUCCCAAAGUGCUAGGAUUACAGGCAUGAGCCACUGCACCCAGCCAAAACCAGCUCUUUCAAAAGACUCCAGUGCUGAUAUCAACAACUGCCUGAGGCUUCCCCACCCUUUUGCAGUUUCCACAUAACAAUUAACCAGCAUUCCCUCCUGAUAAGAGACAACACCCCGCCCGCCGACGCAGAGCGGUUCUGGCCAGUCUUCAGAGGCUGCACACAGAGAGCCUGCGUGUCCCUGCUUUGUCUUUCGAUGUAAAAGGCCUAACUGUCAUGCAUUGAAAUGUGAAGUCUCCAGCCCAAAGUGAACAUGGGACACAUGCUGCAUGCAUGUUAGCCUGCUACACAUGCAUGAUCCUCUUCAUGAAUAUUCAUAGCUCCUCCUGUAAUCUGUUGAAUAUGUAUACUUAGCCAAC
rnacentral:lncRNA from 1 species